rnacentral:rRNA from 1 species
GAUGAACGCUAGCGGCAGGCUUAAUACAUGCAAGUCGAGGGGCAGCGCAGUGUAGCAAUACAUGGGCGGCGACCGGCAAACGGGUGCGGAACACGUACAGAACCUUCCUUUUAGCGGGGAAUAGCCCAGAGAAAUUUGGAUUAAUACCCCAUAGUAUAUUGAGUAGGCAUCUAUUUAAUAUUAAAGAUUUAUCACUUAAA